rnacentral:rRNA from 1 species
UACAGAGGUCUCAAGCGUUGUUCGGAUUCAUUGGGCGUAAAGGGUGUGUAGGUGGCGCCGUAAGUCGGGUGUGAAAUUUCGGAGCUUAACUCCGAAACUGCAUUCGAUACUGCGGUGCUUGAGGACUGGAGAGGAGACUGGAAUUUACGGUGUAGCAGUGAAAUGCGUAGAUAUUGGGAGGAACACCAGUGGCGAAGGCGGCUCACUGGACCGGUACUGACGCUGAUGCGCGAAAGCGUGGGGAGCAAACGGGG